AAUGAACGUUGGCGGCGUGGAUUAGGCAUGCAAGUCGUACGAGAAUCGUAGCAAUACGAGGAAAGUGGCGGAAGGGAGAGGAUUACGUGGGAAUCUACCCUCAGAACUGGGAUAGCGGCGGGAAACUGCCGGUAAUACCAGAUAAUGUCUGUGGACCAAAGGUGUGAUUCCGUCUGGGGAUGAGCCCACGUCCUAUUAGCUAGUUGGCAGGGUAAUGGCCUACCAAGGCAAUGAUGGGUAGCGGGUGUGAGAGCAUGACCCGCCUCACUGGGACUGAGAACUGCCCAGACACCUACGGGUGGCUGGAGUCGAGAAUCUUCGGCAAUGAGCGCAAGCUUGACCGAGCGACGCCGCGUGCGGGAUGAAGGCCUUCGGGUUGUAAACCGCUGUCGUAGGGGAGCAAGAGAUGAGGGUUCUCCCUCUGAUUUGAGCGAUCCCAGGAGGAAGGACGGGCUAAGUUCGUGCCAGCCGCCGCCGUAACAC
rnacentral:rRNA from 1 species